rnacentral:rRNA from 1 species
CCCUUAGAGUUUGAUCCUGGCUCAGAGUGAACGCUGGCGGCAGGCCUAACACAUGCAAGUCGAACGGCAGCACAGAGGAGCUUGCUCCUUGGGUGGCGAGUGGCGGACGGGUGAGGAAUACAUCGGAAUCUGCCUAUUUGUGGGGGAUAACGUAGGGAAACUUACGCUAAUACCGCAUACGACCUACGGGUGAAAGCGGAGGACCUUCGGGCUUCGCGCAGAUAGAUGAGCCGAUGUCGGAUUAGCUAGUUGGCGGGGUAAAGGCCCACCAAGGCGACGAUCCGUAGCUGGUCUGAGAGGAUGAUCAGCCACACUGGAACUGAGACACGGUCCAGACUCCUACGGGAGGCAGCAGUGGGGAAUAUUGGACAAUGGGCGCAAGCCUGAUCCAGCCAUGCCGCGUGGGUGAAGAAGGCCUUCGGGUUGUAAAGCCCUUUUGUUGGGAAAGAAAAGCAGUCGGUUAAUACCCGAUUGUUCUGACGGUACCCAAAGAAUAAGCACCGGCUAACUUCGUGCCAGCAGCCGCGGUAAUACGAAGGGUGCAAGCGUUACUCGGAAUUACUGGGCGUAAAGCGUGCGUAGGUGGUUUGUUAAGUCUGAUGUGAAAGCCCUGGGCUCAACCUGGGAAUUGCAUUGGAUACUGGCAGGCUAGAGUGCGGUAGAGGGUAGUGGAAUUCCCGGUGUAGCAGUGAAAUGCGUAGAGAUCGGGAGGAACAUCCGUGGC